UUUUUUUUUUUUUUUAUGAAAUGUCAAUUUCACUCAUUGACCUUUAUAUGUUUUUUGUAUUGCUCAUUCCUUACAUCCAUCCUUCUGAGGACUGCUCCUGACCCGUAUCCCCAUCUUAUCUAACUAAACGUCACAUUAUGCAUGGAAAAUUUUGACAAUUUUCAAAUUCCCUAGAGUACGUUUAGAUGUUCAGUGGUGAAAUGACAUAAAAGGAGAUCAGUCAGAGGAAAUAAACUUGGAGGAAUUCUUUGAGAAAUGAGCUGGCUUGGGCUAGAAGGGAUUGUGCUUCUAGAUGGCGGUAGAUAUCUCAUUUGUAAUUAUGCCUAUUGAAGAUGACACGGACAAACUAUCAAAAUGACAAACUAGUGCACAUUUUGAAAUUGAAAGGAUGGAUCGAAUCAUACACAAGUUCAUUGGACAAACAAAAUUUUGACAUAAUUUGAAGAUUACAAAUUCAAUUGAUUUGGCUUUCCUAAUUUUUUCGUCAUCAACAUUCAUACGUAAAGAUAGCUUGUUAUUCUUUACUUAAAAUUAAAGGUAGCAAAAUUACAACUUUAGAAUGACCAAUUUAUGUUUGGUACUGUUUUCUUUAACCAAAGUACACAAGCAACAUAUGAUUCCUGGCAUUCUUUUUGCCUCUUAAAGCUAAUUUAGGUUGCCUUUAUUUAUUCUUUUCUUUGUCUUAUUCCAACCAAAUUUCCUUUGCUCGUUUAUAUUUGUUUAUUCUUUCUUUACUCUAGUUUCUUUGUAUGACUUGCUAGAAAAAAACGAAUAUGAUUGGCGACAUUUCUAUUGGAUGAGAAAAAAGUAAUAAGAAUUUUUGCCAAUAAUUAGCCUAGCAAGAGUUAUUGCACUAAUAGUACAAAAUCUACAGGGUACCAAAAAGUGGUGAAUGACAAUUUUUUAACCGUUUGUAUAUAUAAAGAUAAAUAAAUCUGUAAUGAUCUAAUAAAGACAAAUUUUUAAUUAUUUGGAAUUUGAAAUCUAUUGUGUUACUCGGAUGUGAGGUGUUUGAACCCUUCACUCCAUUGGUUUUAGCUUAAUACGGAUGGCAUUCUAGAGGGAAUUCGAGAAUUAGAAGUGGAGGAAACAUGUUAAGGAAUCCGGAUGGAAUUUUGUUAGCUUUUUCUACCAGGUUGGAUUACCUGUCAAGUUUACAAGUUGAAUUUCACGCUUUGAUUCACGGUCUGCAAGUUUGUUUUCAAAUGCGAAUCUCAAAGAUUGAAAUUGAGCUGGAUUCCAAUGUUCUAAUGCUAAUGAUCUCCGAUAAGUGUGGAUUUGCAUGGUACUUGAUCAAAGUUUAGCUAUUUUCUUAGAGAAGGGAAUUCUGCACCAGAUUUAAUGGCAAGUUGGUCAUAUGGGUGUUGUAGUGUUGUAGUGAUUUAACCUCUAUCUAACGGAAGAAAUCAAAUUUUACCAGUCAAAAGACAAGGCUCAUAUCGAGUAUUUUAUUUCUUACUUGAUUUUAUUAGUUAUGUAAAUUGAAAGUUUGUGAUGUUAAAAGAAAUAAAGCAUUUGAAAUUAGAAAAUCAUGCAAGUUACAUUUAAUUCGUUUUACACCUUCUUAAUUUUUUGUUCUCCAGCUUUUCAAAUAAUAAAUUUGAUCUCUCACAUAUUUAAAAUGUACCAUUUUCAUUUCGGAACUUAUUUUCUGUCGCAUUUUCACUUGAAACAGAGAAAAGAAACGUGCCAGCAUAUUUUGAUUAUAUGUGUAAAAUAACAAUAUGGUCAAAAAAUUACUGUUAAUGCAAUUUAAAGAUUAAAUUAUUAUAGUGAAAAAUUACCUAAAUUGGUUUAGACAAAAUAAUGAAAGCACUCAAAAACUCUAAAAUAAUUUACAAUGCUCCAAAAUUUCACCAAAAAUGUGUUAAUAGCAAACAAAGAAAUCUAGUUUGGGACAAUUCCUGCCCAUGUUAAUAGCAAACAAAGCAAUCUGGUUUGGAACAGCAACAGCUUGUACCAUGCUAAGAAUACAUUCCUCUACCAUUCACAGCGCAGCUAACAUCUUCCCUUUAGCAUUUGCUAGGAAAUUAUGCCAUACAAAUCUUGCGAUGUGGUCAAAGACCCGGCCAAUCAUGACACCGGGAGAGCUAGUUUGGGACAGUCCCUGAUAAUGGACUUCUGGAGAGGUGGCAAUCUGGCACCAAUGCCGACCAGCUUUGGUAAACCCCAAAGAUGAACUGUAUGUAAGCUUUGCAGUAUGAAAUUUUCAGAUGUCAUGCCAACAAAUAUAGCUUCCAAGUUGUCACAGAAUCUGACCUUGAGGACCUCCAGGUUUUCUGGCAUAUAACUAACAUGUAAAAGCACAGAACAAUCUCCAAUUUCUAAAGAUCUCAUCAAGGGUGAUUCAAUCCCAAUUCUUGUCAGCUUUGGUAAUCCCCACAGGUGAACUUCAGCUAGAUGAGGCAAUUUGCAGUUUUCUGAUGUCAAUCCUUCAAGCAAAUUGCCCAACUCACUACAAUUUCUGACUUUAAGGACCUCAAGUUUUUCUGGUACAUGACGUGAAGAUAGCAUGUGGCCAAGCAUGGGACACUCGCCUACUUCUAGACUUUGUAGAGACGGCAUUAUGCACCCAAUGCUUUUCAGUUUUGGUAGUUCCCACAAACGCAAUGUUCGUAAGUUUGGCAAUUCAUGCUCUUCUACAUCAUCUCCAAACAAAGCCACCAAAUCCUCGCAAAAUCUGACAUGAAGAAUUUCAAGCAUCUGCAGCAGGUGGGAUGAAAAGAAAACACUCAACAGCUUUGGGCAACAAUCUAGAUACAAGCACUUCAGAUUCUGAAAGCUCCCCAACCGCAGGUUUUCACUGUACAUGCUCCUUAAACUCGAUGCAUUUGAAAUCCAUAAAAUCUCAAGUGCUAUCCCCCUUUCGCUACUGUCUACCAAGUCACUUGUCUCGAUAAUGAACUCCAUAUUUUCACAUCCCUCAAUCCAACAACCUUUCAACGUCUUGAUGUUGCCAGCACCUAAAUCAGAAAAUGAUUUGAAAAACAAACUAUCAAACAAGAAUAUAUACUCAGCAUUAUGAAGUACAGCCUCAAUGCCCUCGGAAAAAGCACUCAGAUGAUGAAUCUCCACUAACCGGCCUUGAGAUUUAGAGCAAUGCCUAGUUAAUAGAUAGACAUCUCUAAAAACCAAUUCAUCCCUGUGGAAGAGCAUGUCCCUUGCACCAUUUUGCACCUCAGUAGGAUGAACAAAGAGAUGGAAAUGAUUUGACGUUGAGUCCAAUACAGAAGGAUUGCUGUCCAGAAAUUCAAGAAAUAGCGAACCAUUAUAAGAAAGUAAAGAUCUGCUAGUGUUUGGUACCGUUCGAUCCACAACGGAGAAGGACCAAUGUGAUGCACUAGGCUUUUGCUUCCAGCUAGUUACCUCACUGGUGUCAGCUGCUUGGAUGUCUUCCUUCAUACUGGGUAAAGCAAGAUGUUGCAGCUGAGUCAAUCUCGAGAUUCCACAAGGGAGAUUUUCAACUCCAGACAUGUCAAGCAGCUUGUGGUUUUUAAAGUUUUCCAAUUUUGAACAGUCACUGAGCAACAGUUUAUGCAGGUUACUCAAACUUCCUACAAACGGCAGUUGCCUCAGUGCUGUUUGAGAAAGAUCAAGAGUCUCAAGGUUGUGAAGUACUUCCAAGACAGGGAGAACCUCUAGUUGUCCACAGCCCCUCAAAAACAGAUGCUUAAGGCUUUUGAGAUUCGUUAAGGCAGGUAGCUCUUUGAGCAAGGUCUCGGAGAGGUUUAGAACCUGAAGUUUACUCAUGUGCUCUAUGAAAUCAGUUCCGGUAAAUGAUUUUACACCACUCAGAUUUAGCUCCUCAAGAUUUGAGAGGGAGUUGAGUUCUGGUAAGUGUACAAUCUUUAUUUGUGAGAGGACAAGGCGACGAAGGCGAGGUAGGUGCUCAAAAGAUUUAUCUUCUAUCAUUGUCAUUGCCUUACAGCCAGAUAGAUCGAGCUCUUCCAGUUUGCUUGAAGCCAACCUUGGCAACUUCUCCAGAUUCAGAGAACAUGAAAGUAACAGCUGACGGAGGUUGUGGAGAGCAGAAAGGGAUGGUAGAUCUUUGACUUUUGUUCCUGACAGGUUGAGAACUCGGAGAUUUUCUAAACAUUCAAAGAACUUUCCUUCAAUUUUUACAAGAUUACAGGCACCUGAAAAAUCAACUAUCUCUAGUUCUUCGGAAGAUUCAACACAAUUCAUGUAUUUUAUCUCAGAGCAAUUUUUCAAAUAGAACUCACGAGGUUUACCGAUGUUAAAAGGUAAUGAAGGAAUAGCAGUUCCAGAUAAAUCAAGGAUCUUCAGACUGCUAUUAAUUUCGAAUGACUUGUCCUGGAAAUCCAUUAUCGCUGACCAUGAAAUAUCGAGAACUUGCAUAUUAGUUAGAGACCGAAUGCUGGGCAGUCUAUCCAUGUUGCGACAACCACUAACCGAUAGAUGAGUAAGCUCCUUGGUUUCAUGAAGAAUAGGCAAAGAUUUGAUCUUGGUGUUUGAAAGAUUUAACGUUUGAAGUUUCGGCAAUGAUUUCAAGUUCUUUUCUGGAAAAGUUGGCAAGGAGGCAGCACCAGAAAGAUCAACAACCAUAAGUUUUUGACACUUCUUCAGACUCUUCAACUCUGUCAAAUGAGACAAGCCCUUUAGAAUAAGCCAGCGGAGUUCUGUAAGGUCAUAAAAAGAUUUAGGCAAAACUUUAAUCUGAAGGUCAGAGAAGUGGAGGGAACGAAGUUGGGUCAUUUGCUGAAAAAAGUUAUCUGGUAUACUUUCUAUCAAGCAAGAACCAGAUACUUCAAGGACAGUUAUUGUCAUUAGCUCUGCAAUUUCAUCAAUCUUUUCUAAGAAAUCACAGUCCCUGAGCACAAGAACGUUCAGUUUUUUCAAGUAGCAGAAGCAACGAGGCAAUGAUAUAAUUCUGAGGCAGAAAAGACCCAGAAUUUGCAGCUCCUGAUUGUUCAGUAGGAGACUAUUCAGAUGUUGCCCGCUGAGACAGCUCCCGUCAAGUAAAAGUACUUUUAAUGGCUGCACUUUUUUAUGAUUGACAAGUGUUCUGAUCAUACCAUCCAUCAAAGUGACUUUUCCAAUACCAUGCCAAUCAUUACCAUUCACAAGAACAUUAGCCAACCCCAGAUUAGCGAUUCCACCAUAUCCCUGACGAUGGUAGUUAAUAAGUACAGUUCCGCUGACCAUUUGGAGGAAAUCAUCACUUACUUCUUUCAGCAUUUGACAGUACAUAAGCUGCAUCAAAAUGCGGUGCCCCUCCUCAUAAGCCUCCUCAAGACUGUUAAAAGGACUAAGAUAUCCUUCUAGUAUCCAGUAUGAUAUCAGCUCACCGUAGUGAAUAGAUCCAUGGUCGCCGAAAAAAUGGCUGCCCUGCCAAGAAAAGUCAACUAAAAUACCGUCUGACACCCUUUCAUAUCCACUUGACAGCAACAGGGUGUAAUUGUAGUCAUCACCACCCCAUGCUUCUUCCAAAGCCUGUUGCAGAUCCUGCACUUUGGAAUCAUGUUGAUGAUAAUUUAGUAGGUUUGCUAGCAAGGCUACUUCUCCAGGUGUAAGACCUUCUUUUUUAUCGAUGAAGUUUUUAACUAAAAUUUCAACACCUGAAAUUUCAAAAACUUUUGCCACAGCCCCUUGCUUUAACAAAGAAAUUGACAUUUCUGGAGUUAGACGUUUCAUGUCAAUCACUUCCUUAUCCCCCCGAGUUUGGUGCCUCGUAUCUUCAUUCCUAGAAGUUAUUAGCACCUUAAGUUUUUGCUGUCCAUCUCCAUCAGCAACUUCCAUUGACGGCUGAUAGGCGUUCUGCCGGAUAAACUGAAGGACUUGUUGUAAGUCUCGAUCCCCUUCUUUCAUUUUGUUUCCGUCAUCAUCCAAAAUUACAAGUAUCCCUCGAAGAACAUUACUUGCUGAAAGUUUUUUCUGCACCUUUCCUUUCAAGUCAUCCAAGGUUUCCUCCUUACCAUUGUCAUUCUGUACCUGCUCGAUAUCAUCAAUUUCCAGCUCCGCAGAAGUGGAAAGUAGAGACAACUGACGAGCAAUAUGCUCAUAGAGAGACAUCUCAUCAUGCCUAACACUCAAAGAAAUCCAAAGCAUAAUGUCAACUCUUUCAUUUGUGACUGCAAGCAGACCAACUUUUCUUGCCAUCCAUGUUUUUCCAGUUCCUGAUUUCCCAGAAAGAACAAUUGUUGACACAUGUUUUUCCUUGAGAAGUUUAAGAAUUUCUUUUGCCUGCAGUUCCACACUAUUCUGGUCCAUUGCCAAUAUGCCACUCCAAAACACCUGUAUUAUGGUGCAAAUGGUUACACAUUCCAGCAAGAAAGAAAGAAAUUGUAAUAAACUUUUGUUAGGAAUGAAGCAUAAAAAUUAUCACAAUGCAUGACCAACUGGUACCGUAAUUUGUCCACCAAAUACUUGAAAACGUGCAAACAUAUAUGUGCACAUCAACAUAAAGUAUGUGUUCAUUAGCUUAUAAAUGUGAUCUUGGUUUUUCUUUAUGUGCACAUGUGGCUUUCUGUUAGCCAUUGAUCUAUUAUGGAUACGCCCACCAUCAAUUCCUUAACAACGUCAUGGGUCUUGCUACCUCAACCUUGCCCAGAGACAUAACAACUUUGCACCGUCUUAGUUAUAGCUUCAAAUGAAUGCCAGAUCUCUAUCUAUUAUCCAUAUCUAAUAGAAAAUAAAAGUUUUUCUAAGAAAAUUGUUAUAGGAUAAUAGAUGAAGCAAAGUGGUGAGAAACGUAUCAACUGCUUAAACACAAGAAGGUUAAAAUGUAAAGGCUCAAAUUAGUGAUGAAAAGCAAUGUAAAGAGGACAUUUCCACAAGCUCAUGGACUCUGGAUACAACUGUCCAAAUAUCUAAAACAAGCGACUUCAUGGCUCUAAGGAAAGUAAUGCAGGAGAUACAAACAAGUGCUACAACAAGAUCUACACGGUUAAUAAUAAAUUCUACAGUUGAAAUUACCACCAUUGACAACUAAAAGUCCAUGAUCCCAGAAUAUAACAGCACUCUCUGAAGAUCAAGACAGAUAAAUGUGACCAAUAUCGACUAUAUCUACAACAAUGCGUUGGAUCGAGAUUAAAUGAAGAUUGAGACGAGUAAUGGCCAUCUUUUCCCACAUUUAGCAAUUGGACAAACUAAUCCAGACCACUCUUCCUCCAAUUGAACCUUUCACACUGACACAUUCAAAGCACAUAAGUUCCAGUUAAAAUUUUCUCAGCUUAAAUCUUUCCUGAUUUUCAUAAGUUUCACUGGAAUUUUUACAUUUGAACCAAAGUAAUCUCCCACCAGGUUUUCAAUAUAACAAGAUUCUCAGCUACGGGGCUAGAGGACACUAUAUUUUAUUUUCCAUUAAAGACUAACUUCUUCCAGUUAAAUUUCACACCUUUUAGGAUCAUAUUCCAGAAUCAGUUAUUUUCUACCCAACAUCACAAUAGUUAUUCAAUGUCAAAAAGAUCCUUCUGUAUCCAGACAACAAUUAACAGCAUAGAAAACUCUGAACUUUCUGCAAAAGGGCAUGCAUAAAACAGCUAAACUAAACCAUUUCAAGACAAACCUGGAAAUGGUUUCUUGAUUACCUGCUACUGCUUGCUGUCCGUUGUUUGAUGGAUGUCUGAGAAACUAGAACAGAGCUUCAACAAAGAAAAAUAAAAAAUGUUCUGCUCUGUUUUGGCACGCUUGAGUUGACAAGACUAGGAUUGGUAUUAUUAAUAAUAAAAUAAAUUUUUUCGCUUUUCUUUUAAAUUGGGCCCAAUGUCCUUUCAUCAAUACUUUUGGCAGUUUGCAGCUAAUCGUUAGAAAAGCUUUUUCAUACUUGUGCCAAUUAUGCAUUCAGGAAGAAAGGGUAGGGAAGGCACGAAGCAAUCACUAGGGGAAAAUUUUCAAAUUUUGAUUUUUUUAAAAAAAAAGAGUUUUCAAAUAGUGAUAAUUUUACACUAUGGAUCAAUUUUUCUAAAUCAUGUAUUUAUUGGAUGCUAUUUUGUGAAAAAUCAAUAUCUAGAUGAAGUAAAAAAAGUAUUUUGUAAAUUUGGUUUUUACAUAAAUAUAUUCACUAAAUAUGAUUUUGGGAGAGUUUGAAAAACAUCACAGUUUGAUUUUUUUUUUUUAAAUAAAUUCUACUAUUUGGGAAUUCAGUCCAAUCACUAGAGAAUAAUGUUCAAAGUCUAAAAUAAUUUAUAUUUUAUCACACAUAAUUUAUAUAUAAUUUUGUAAUAGACAUAUAGAAUUUAUUCUAUUCAUAUAUUUCACAAAGAAUCUAUGUAUUUAUUAGCAUGCCAAAGUUAUGUGUCGUGGUUUGAGCCUUUAAUUUUAAUCUUAUAUCUCGUUAGUCAAUCAUGGCCACCAACUUAAGAUAAUAGCCCUUCCUUUUAUCCCUCGCAUUCUUACUGGAUACUAGAAUGUUACUCUGUUGCCAAUGUUGCAAGACAACUUUUAGCAAAUAUUGCAAGAAUGCACUAUUGCUAAAAUCUUCUUGGUAAAUAAAUUUACUGGUAAAAUCUUCAAUUUCUAAUUGCGAUUAUCAAAAUUUAGAGUCCCCCACUUUUAUUUUACGAUACAUAUGGUGGGCAUCUUGCACAUUUUUGUUCAAGAUUUUAUUAAUAAUCCAAAGCGCUAGGCUAAACUACAUGUUUUCUAACAUUAGUUAAGGAUAACGUAAAAAGACUUUUGAGAAACUUUUGUUCCUUUUUCCAACAUUCACGCUGCGGUUAAUACCACCCAGGCUUCCGAGAAACUUUUCUUCCCUUUUUUCAUCUUGCUUUUUUUUUUCGGGCUUCUAUUAGAUUGCACAUGCUAUAUAUUAACACUUUCCUAUCAUAUUUUGUUAGGUGUAUAGGACCUACUAUUUGAUUGUCUAAUUGGUUGGCAGUUAACAUGAUCGUCCUUGCUCAUCGUCCUUGCUUGUAGUCCAUUUAAUUGGUAGUCAGACCGUGCUAAAGUUGUUCAAUGAGUUUUGUACCGCCUAGCAUUCAUUACUAGAAUUUAUUUAUUGCUUUAUACGGCUCUACGUAAUGUGUUCAGAUCGAACCGUUCGUGAACGGCUUAAGUCAAAGUUUGACUCGAGUUUGAAUCGAGUUCGAACUGACUAAAUCAAAUUUAAAGUUAAAACAUUAAAUUCAUUAGUUCGCAAGUAUAUAUAUAUAUAUAUAUUAUUUUUUAUUUUAAUAAUAAAAUUACAUAUAUAUAUAUUUUUAAUUAGUUAUUAAGAAAAAUAUUAUUUUUAUUCAUUUUUUAAAAUAAAAUAAUUUUUUUAUUUUUUUGAGUUCGAGCUCAACUCGAAUUUGAGUCAAACUCGAGCUUGAGGUUUAGAUUGGUAGCUUGUCGAUCUUGAACUCGAAUUCAAACUAAUCAAGUGAAUGUCCAAGGUAAACGAUGAUCAAGAAGGAAAUGGUGAGGCAUGUUGAAUUAAAAAUUAAUCAAAAUCUCUUAAUUUAUGGAUAAAUAAUUAUAUUUUGAUAUUUUGAUUUAUAUAAAGUUUCUUAAUAGUGAAAAGUGCUUAUUUACUAGAUAAGGUGGAUGACAUGUAAAAUAAUUAUUGGGGCUAGAAAUUUAGGGUGUGAAGAAAAUAUUUCGUAUCUCUUUAUUUUGAAUUUCGAGCCUUGUUCAUGAUGAGUAGUUUAUUUUCAUAGUUUUUAAUUUUAGCAAAUGAUAGCUUGAGAAUAAAAGAAAUAUAAAAUUAGAUUUCAGAAUCUUUUGUUUAAACUGGUUCUAUUGGACUUUCUAACUUUAGCAAAUGAUUGCUUGAGACCGUUAAUGAAGGAUUCUCUUGAAUAACAUUGGAUUUUCUAGGCUUCUGGUAGAAGUACAAUUCGAUUUGCCAAAGUUUGGUGAAAGCAGGGACUUUUUUCUUUGGGAUUAAGGAUUGGCGGUGGCUUGAGCAAAUUUGACACUUAUAUAUAUAUAUAUAUAUCAAGAUUUGCUUGCGUGUUGACUUUGUAUUUGACCAGUUAAAGUAGAUAGAAAGCCAUUUUCUCAUUCAGUUGUGGUUACAUUAGGCAAAAUUGAUAUUUACAACUUGCAUUUUGACAAAUUCAAUUGUCUUGAAAGAAGUUGGGUAUAUCUUUUCUCAUCCAAUAGAACAUGUAUCAUGAAUACUACUUGACAUCGACUCCUAAAUCAUCCAAAGUAAAGUUUAGCUCUGAUGUUGCACGAAUUCUUCUACGACCUGCAAUGUGAAUUGGCAACGACUGACACCGCUAGCCAUUGCGACGCCCCCACUUCUCCCUAAGGCGAACCAAAGGGUAUCCGUGGGACGCCUACCCAACUCUCGCCAGGACUCAAACAAUUUCCGUCCAAACUUAAUACAAUACUAGACGUUACGAUUAAAUAUCAUAAAUACAAUCAAUGCGUAAGCAUUCAAGCUUAUCAAUAUUCAACAUCUGCCCAAUCAUUACAUCGGGAUCUCAAAAUACAUCAAUAUUCAAAAUAUACAUCAAUCACAAGUUUAGUCCCAAAGUGCAACGGAAACCCUAAAACAAGAGUACGCCAAGAGGGGUUUCUCCAACAUUUCUCCAAGUCCAAUCCUGUUAAAGAAAACAAAUCUACAGGGUGAGCAAAACGCUCGUGAGGCUAAGAACACACAUGCAAGCAUGUUGUUCAGGUAACAAGCCCAAAUAACAGUUCAAGUGAUAAAUUACAAGUAACUCAUAAAGCCAACGAAAUGUAAACAAAAACAAUUCAAGGAUAUGGUAGCUCUCAGGAGCUAAGUUCUACUUGCUUUGCCAGUUCAUUCGUAUAUCUUCCCGCGAUGACUCUCCAUCAACCAGGUUGAUAUUUCCAAACCGUAGAUCACCACUUACUUCUCAUCCAUCCACCCUACACCGCUUCGGGCCCGCACGACAUUUAUAAGGCGAGAUACUCCACGAGUAUGCCAAGCAAGAUCUCUCAAUAGAUCAAGCUUAUCAUGUGAAUCUCAUGGCUCACCGAGGUUCCCGACCAAGCCCAUGCUGGCUCGAGUUCCAAGGUCGGCCUAUGAGUUUGGGCAUCCCCCAUGUAUCAUGUAAGUGUCGAGGAGAUUCACUCCAACGACGUAUGCAGCCAUAGCAUACCAUGUCAUGUAUUCAAGCAUUUGACAGGUUUAAGCAUGUAUUUCAGGUCAUGUAAACCAGACAAACCAUAUUAAGCAUGAGUCAUUUGUUUCAAAUGAGAACGAGUGCGAUAAAGUACACACUCGACUCCAUUAUUCAAAACCAAGUAGGCUAAGCAUGUAAUCAGGUAAGCCAAGCAUGAAUCAAGUCCAUAGAGUUCAAGUAGUCAUACACUUGACACUCACCGAGCAAAUCAAGAAAAAAUAUUUUCCGGAAGUUCAAGUGUUCACUGUAGAAUCCUCUUGAAGGUCCUCGUAUGCGCCUGAGCAAAUAAUAAUGUAUUAUCAUUCACGUGCCCCAAUUAUCAAGGAAGAUUGUAUGUUAGUACAAUCUAAGGAAAUUUCACGAAAACGAACCUCAAUUACUCGUAAAUCGAGAUUCAACUAAAGCUUCUUAAAGUACAAGAACGAUCGAGUUUUCAUUUUGGGAAAUCAAGUAUAAAACGUUCAAAUAAUAUCGAAGGAAUAAGGAGUGCUUGAAAACUCCCUUCCUUUGGUAUUCGGAAAAUUUUCAAUUUUGAUACGAUAUUUUGAAAAAUCGUAUCUCACAUUCUACAUGUCAAAAAUUGGAAAAAUUGGUACCGUUGGAAACCUCUUUGAAAGUACUAAAAGUUCUUAGAAGACACUUUUCCAUGAUUCUAAAUGGAAAAUAUUCAAAAAUGGGCUCAAAGUUACUGUUUCAGAGUACUUAAGGUUGUGUUGGGGUUGGUUUUUCGUUAACUUUGGAAAUUCGGCAAAAUUCACAAGUUACGACCUAGCCUCUGAAAUUUGUAACCCAAUUAGAGUUGAAAGUAAGGUUUAUAACAGAAAAAGCGGAUCAAGAAUCAAAGUUUCGAGCACCGAGAUACGGUAGCUCAAAGUUAGGGAAAAAUCCAAAAACUGGUAAACAAAUUUCCAGAUUUGAGCUUCCAACCUUGGGAGUUUAGUUAGGUAUCGAAAUGAACUUGGAUUGGUACAAAAUUUGGUAGUAUAAUACUCCUAUAUAAAGAGUAUCCCUCUAUCAAAUUUCAUGGAAAAAUAACUUCGGGAAGAUAGUCAACCAAACAACCAAAGUUUCGAAAAUCCUAAGACAAAAUUGCCUUGAGCCUUUUGUUUUCCAUUCCAAACAUUUGGUCAAGGAAAAAUUCCUCAAACAUGGCUCAUUAGUGUAGGCAAAGCCUAAGAAACAUUCAUGGUACAUUUCAUAAGUGUUUAGCACCAAAGAUUUCAGUUAGCAAGUCUACACCAAGUCUUGCAUCAAAUCUGUCCAAAAGUUAGGGUUUUCAAGAGCAGGGCAGGUUCCGUAUUUUGAUCACAAAUCACUCAACUUAACUCAGAAUUGGGCAUGGUUUAUGGUGUUGGAAAACACAUUCAUAGAGCUAUAAUUUCACAGAAGAAAUCAUUUUGAAAUUCGGCACACAACUAGCUCAAAUUCGAGCCACAAGUUGCAGCCUUAGCAUUUCGUUCCAGUAAAACAGAGAAACAGAACAGCCGACUUUAAAUGGUUGGUUCGGCUCACAUACAUGGAACCAGAACGUGCAUUUUAUACCGUCGGAAAGCUCAGAAUGUCUAGUUUCAAAUUCCGCUGACGGCACUUGAUUUUGAUGUUGGAGCACAAAGUUAUGGAUGAAACAAUAAAGCUGGUCUGAGCAUGUCGGGAAAAAUUCCAGGUUCACCAACUUUGUGAAAUCAAUUCAUUUGACCCACCAAACCUCAAUAUUUUUCAAUGAAAUUUUAUACACCAUCUAUACAACAUAUAAAAUUCAUAUAUAAGUCAUUACAACCCCAAAAUUCCGCAGAAAUAGGUACGUUCAAAGCAGGGGCAGAAUCGGAACUUUUACCCCAUGCAUCUCUUGAAGUUUAUACUAAUAAUACACCGCUAAUCUACCAUUUUGAGCACUAAACCAACAUUAAAUUCAUCAUCAAUCAUCACAUCAGCCAUCAAGACAAAGGGUGGGAGUUCAUAGAGCCCACCUUCCAAAUUUUUCAACAAUAACAACCACCCAUAUGAAUACAAGAGCUUAAAGGUGUUAAACAACCUCCAUAAACCAAGAUUAAAGUGUUGGAUCAUUACCUACUUUGGUUGAUGAACUUGGCAGAAUUUUCGGUCCUUAGAAGCUCCAAGAAAACCGUGGAAAACUCCUCCUUUUGAUAGCUAGAUGAACUCUCCAAGUGACAAGCUAGGUAGUCUUCAAUUUUGGUAUGAAUCUAUGAAGGUUUGGUGCAAGAAUUGAAGAUGAAAAAUGGCAACUUUUGUGUUGUGUUUUGCAGCUGAUAGUUCGGCCAAGAGAGAGACUAGGAGCGAGUGUGUUUGGUCCAAUUUUAGCUUCCUAAGGAAGAUACAAUGUGUGGUGCAAAAUCACUCCAAAGUCAACUGAGAAUAGUGCGCAUAGGGCACGUUUGGUGCUCGAUUUCUCUCGCAUUUGUUUCACUAGUGCACUAAACCUCUAGUACACUUAUAUUCAUAUAAAUAUUAUUCACUCUUAAUUGUCCCAAAAUAAUGGUCCAAAGUCCCUCAAUUAAGCGUGUGCGUGAAAAUGCGUAUUUCCAAUUUAGGCGCGAUAAAAUGAAACCUUCAAGAAAUUCUUAUAACGAUCGUACCACUAACUAUCACUUGAGUACUUAAACCUAAAAUUACCUAUUUUAGGACCAUUGUAUAUGUCUCCAAGUUUUCGAAGUUAUUGUACUCCCAAUCGGGUAAAAUUUCCAAGCACUAUUCACUGUUCUCACUAAACGCGCUCCCAGAAAUUAAUUUUUGAAACAAGUCAUUUUAAAAAUAUAAUGAAGCUAUAUUUCCACGUAAUUAGGUUCAAUAGAUCUAGAAAAUAAUACUCGAAAUAAAUGAACAAGUAAAUAAUUAAAUAAGCUCAAAAUAGGGUUUUAAUAGGAGUUUUACGAGUCCUCACAUGAGUCGAGUAUUAACUCCUCAAAUCUCCAAUAAAUUUGUAUCCAUGCGUCUUUUGGAAAACUAUCCACGCGUGAGUAGUAUAUGCUCACUUAGAACUUAUUCACCUUUAAUUCUCGAUUAACUUUUCUUAAUCUGCUAUUGUCCGUUCUUAAUUUCCCUAGGAUAAUCAUACUCUCGAAUAUAAUAUCACCAUGAAACACUCAUGUUCAUUAUUUCUCACCUAAACAAUCCUCUGAAAGUUGAAGUUGUUAACGGGACGUUUUAAAAGCAUAAUGAAGACGUUAUUCCAUACGAAUGGAUUUAAAAUGAUCGUAAUAAAUUAUUUGGGGAAAACAUGUGGAUAAAUACUUAAUUAAACCAUUAAUAUUCGAUAACAAUAAGAAAUUUUUCGGGUCCUCACAGCCAUGUUGUGGCUGCUUCAAAAUAGAGUUGUAUAAGGUAUGUAUUCCACUAUCUGUCAACCAUUUGCCGAAUUUGCAUAAAAAUGUGUUCUUGAAUCUAAGUAUAAUGGCAGAAAAGUUGGUCCAGUACAAGCAGCCUGCACUGCAGAAGAACUCCAUGAAGUUCUUGGUAAAUGCCUAUCCAUACUAUUAUUAUGCAAGAGUAGUACUCAGUCUCUCUCAAUCUGAAUUGGAUGUCUAUUGAUUUCAUAUUGCCUCCAGCCUGGAUUACCAUGGUAAAUCAGAAAGGAUUAAUUUAAAUGUGUUGCCAGUAUAAUGUUUCUUUUGCACAAAAGUGUUGACUUUUGGCAUAUUUGCGAAGUCCCACAUCGGUGGCUUUAGGAAUUGAGGGAUUGCUUGAGAGUUAUAAAAUAACUCUAAUAACUCUCAAGCUUCCUAAUAGAAACACACCAAAAAAGAGGCACCAAAGAAUUAUUUGUAAUUCUUUCUUCUCCCAAAAUUAUUAAGAAUGAGUCAUUUAGGCGGUGUCCGGAGAUUAGGCAAAAUUGGCCGAAUUUCGUUAUCAAUUUUCGGGUGCGUUCUUUCCUUAUCUCUUUUAUUUAUUUCGCAUUUAUAUGGUAGUUUCUUUUCAAUUGUAGUAUAGUAUUCAAUAUAUUUGUCGGGUUUAUUUGUAAUGUUUUAUACGGUUCUUUUGGAUGUAUUUUUCUUAUUCGUGUGUAUGUACUAUUUAUGUAUACACGAAUUUAAUUGUGAUAAUACACCGUGCACGUAAAUUCUGCCAUAGAAAGACUGGGUUUUAAAUAGGAUUGCUUGUGACCCCUCAAACCUUUCCUGAAAAUUUACUUGAAAUGGUAAUUCUGUCUAAGGAGAUUGUUUUAACGAUCUUUCCUACGAAUUACUGAAUCGGUUUAAAUCACUAGUACUAUUUGAGUGGAAAAUUACCCGAUUUUUCCAACAAGUGGUAUCAGAGUCAAAGGUUCGUCCUUUAACUUGUUUGUAAUUUGUUAUAUUGAAUACUAUUAUUUGAGUCUGUAAUGGCAUCAGACGAUUCCACGUCAAGAAUCACAUCUGGGGCAUCGGCUUCCUCGUCUGCAUAGUCGAGAAUUCCAAUGUCAAGUUUGAAACUGGCGGUGGAGACAUUUGACGGUACUGACCAUUUCGGCAUGUGACAAGGUUAGGUCAUAGACUCCCUUUUUCAACAGGGUCUUGACAUUGUCAUUGAAGAAAAGAAACCAGAUGACAUAGAAGAGAAGGAGUGAAGUACUAUAAAUCAAUUGGCAUGCAGAACUAUUUGAUCGUAUUUACCCAGAGAACAAAAGUAUGCUUUCAAGAGUGAGACUUCUGUAUGGAAAUUAUGGAGCGCAUUGGAGGAGAAUUUUCUAAAGAAGAGUGGUUAGAAUAAACUCCUUAUGAAGAAAAGAUUGUUCCGAUUCGAUUACCAACCAGGUAUUAUUAUGAAUGAACACAUCACUAUGUUUAAUUAGUUAGUAACAAACCUGUUAAAUUUAGAUGUGAAAUUUGAAGUUGAAGAUUUGGCUUUGAUGUUGUUGUCAUCCCUUCCUGAUGAAUUUGAACAUUUGGAGACUACGUUACUUCAUGGGAAGGAGAAUGUGUCUUUAGAUGUUGUAUGUUCUACUUUGUAUAGUCAUGAAUUGAGAAAAUAGGAUAAAAUAAAAAAUGAAGUAACUACAGCAGAUGAAAAAUUAGUGGCAAGAGAUCAUCAACAAAGCCAAUCAAAGGGAGAAGAGGAAUGUCCAAAUUGAAAAUUAAAGUUGCUAAAGAUGAGUGUGCUUUCUGUCAUGAGAAAGGGCACUGGAAGAAAAACUGUCCAAAGUUGAAAACGAAAGGGAAAGCUCCUCAAGACGUAAAUAUUGCAGAGUGUAAAAGUGAUGCGGAAUCAGAUUUCUCUUUAGAUGUAUCACCUUCAACAGCCCAUCCAGAUAAGUGUAUUUUGGAUUCAAGUUGUACCUACCAUAUGUCUCCCAUGCGAGAGUGAUUCUUUGAAUUUGAAGAACUUGAUGGUGGAGUUGUUUACAUGGAAAAUGAUAAUCCAUGUAAAACAGUUGGGAUAGAUUCAAUCAAGCUGCGUAAUCAUGAUGAAUCCACCAGAAUCUUGAAAGAUAUUCGGUACGUGCCGAAUUUGAAAAAAAAUCUCAUUUCUUUGGGGGUCUUGGAGUCAAAAGACUUAAUUGUGAUGAUGCGAGAUGAAAUUCUUAAAACAAUUUCGGGAGCACUUGUGAUAUUGAAAGGUGUGAGGAAGAAUAAUCUGUAUUACUACCAAGGUAAUAUAGUUGUUGGGACAGUAGCAGCAGCAAUAUCUUUCAGUAUCAAGAAGGAUGCAGAAGAAAUAAAGUUGUGACAUAUGCGAUUGGGACAUGCUGGAGAAAAAUUCUUGCAAAAUCUUUGCCAAGUAAGGAUUGUUGAGAGGUACAAAAGCUUGCAAAUUAGAAUUUUGUGAGUAUCGUGUUCUGAAAAAAUAAAGAAGAGUGAAAUUUGGCACUGGCAUCCAUAAUACUAAGGGUAUUUUAGAUUAUGUAUAUUCAGAUGUGUGGUGUGUAAGGACUCGUAAAAUUCCCUUAGUUUAUAUUAUUUUAUUUUAUUUUCGCAUGCAUUUUCUUUACUUUACUAUAUUAAUUUUCCAAAGAUUUUUAUACGUGAGUAUAGUUUAUAAAUCAUUUUACUGGUAUAAAUUAGUAUACGUUAAAUUUGAAGCGCAUUGUGGAUGUGGGACUCGCUAGUGCGAUAAAAUUUUUAUGAUUAGGUGAAAAGGUAUUAAGGAAUAUUAUUUUACAAGGUACUAGGAGACAAUUAGAGAUUAACUAGAUAGAUUAACUAUUGGGAGAAAGAAGAUAAACUUGAACCCUAAAAGGUGCCAAGUGUCACGACCCGAUUGGAUGUGACUUUGACCAAUUUUUCUUUAUCUUUACCAAUUAUCAAAUUUUGACCAAAAAGCAUCUUCAUUUUCUUGCUUCUUGGCCGGCCCUCAAGAGAGAAACUUCAUUUUUAACUUCUAAACUUGCAUGAAUCUUGAGAUUUAGCCAACCACUUUGCAAACCAUUCCAUAAGUGUUAACUAAGGAAGACUAAAGGUGUUGUUGGAGUGAUUUUGGAGAAGAAAGCACCAAGCUUCCAUCUUUCUUGGAGGAACAAGGUAAUCUUGGCUAGAAUCUUCCCUCCACUUCAAUUAAUUGUCAAUUAGUGGAUUAUAGUUGCAAAAUAGGUAAUUUUAUGAGACAUAUGAUGGUUUGAAGUGGUGUUAUGAACAUUUUUAAUUUUUAUGGGGAUUUUUCUUCCCUUAUGUGAUGAGUAAUGAUUGGCUAUGGUUUGAUAGCUUUAUUAUGUGAAAUAUUAGGGUAUUAUGGGUUAGAUGGACUUGUUUAAAGAAAAUUUCAGAUUAGGGUUUCAAUUUAGGGCUUUAUUUUGUUUGGUUUUGGAGCUAUUAAUUGGCUCAAAUUGAAGGGGUAUUGUGGCUUAAUUAAGUGUGGUUUCUAACUUAUGUGUUGUGUGUGUAAUUGUGGUUGAUUUGAGUUGAGAUUGGUGAUGACUUGUGGGGUGGAAAGUAAAGAAAAACAAGGGAAGUGCUGCUGAAAUUUUCACAAGACCCUUGAGCAGUUUUGAGAAAUCUGUUGUAUCUUGAUGAAGAAAAAUCGGAAUUAAGUUCUGUUUAUUGUGUUUGAAACUAGAUUCAUAGAGCUACAAACCAAGAAAAUUUCAGACCCUAUUUCUGUCUGUGUGAUUUAUGGUGAUUUUUCUAACGUUGACUGAAAUUACAUACCUGUUCUGUCUUUUACUAGAUGAAGCAGAGAUUUGAGACUCGAAUUUGACUGAUUUGUGGUAUGAAUCUUAUAAAUGUGUCUUCUGAGAAAUUGUAUCCCUUUGAGUCUAUUUUCCGACGGUAUAAAUUUUAUCAAUUUUGGACUUAAGAAUCUUGAGAUAUGAUUUUUCAAAUAGUGGUGCACAAAACUGGAAAAUCCUGUUUUUCUAGAAUUAUUCUUGCUUUCAUUUUGCACCUUAAAUUUGGAGUUAGUAAAUCAUUGUAGGUAUGGUUUUAGGUAGAAGCGAAGGAUUUUUGGAUCGUUCAUGUUUUUAGGACCAACUAUUACCUUUUCACUCCAAAACUAUACUUUUGUGUUGCAUUAGUAAUUUACUUGGUUAGGCAUAUGACUCGUAAUUGAGUCUUAAUUGUUUUACCUUGGUGGUUUAGGAUGUGUUGGUGAUCCAAGUACUUCGGAAGGAAACGUUUGAAGUUGUUUGUUUGAACUGGUGAGUGUACCACUCCCUUAAUUUGCUGCUUAUCUGGGCUAUCUGUGACUUCUGUAUACUCUGUAUGAAAUGAGGGUGUACUUUAUCACACUCAUUUCUCUCAUCUAUUUAUUCUGGUUCCUAUAUACUGUAUAAGUCUAUAUUUGUUCUCUGUAUCUGUUAUCUGUAUAUGUUCUCUGUAUUUGUUGAUGUCAUUUGGAGGGUUGACUUCAACAACCAUUCUAUGACCUUUGAGCUCAAAACUGGGGGCUAGUUACUCGAGUCAAGCAGGCAAGGGGCCUGAUCGAUUAGAUAACGAAUCACGGUAAUCCACUUCUAGGAAAUCUUUGGGUAUUAGAGACUCUAGAUUUCCGGUAUACUUGAGUAUUACCACCCACUGUUACUGUUGAGGUGUUCGAGUCCGGUAAAGGGUAUGUUUGAUGGACGGAAUUUGGCAUAAAGUGGUGCUCUACUGGACUGGUUACUGUACUUGAAAGUUGACGGAGUGUCAACUACUACUUGAUCAAGCAUUAGUGAAGAAAAAGGAAAUUUGGCUCUUGCGAGCCACCUAUAUCCUUUCUAUUUGAGAUGGUUAUUCAUUUCCUUAUUUGACGUGAUCAUUUGAUUGAUUCCAUUAUUCCUGAUUGCUUGUAUAUUGGGUACCUCAUUGAGCGUAAACUCACCCCCUUCCCGUUAUCUUUGUUUUCCUUACAGGAAAUAACAAUUUUGAACCAUGAUUUUGAAGAAAUGGUCGAGCUAGUAUAAACGUUCUUUUGUUAAGCUCUUCUGUAAUCAAAACCUUAAUUUGUCUUUUAAUCAAGUAUCACGUUUUGAUUUGUAAAGUUUUCAGUGUAUGUAUAUAAGUGUUUAACCAUGUACAUUAAGUGUAUUCGUUUGAGUUGGUACCUUUGGAUUUGUUGAGAUGCUACUUGCAACCAUUGGACAAGCGGACGAGCGCGAUAUUUGAACAAGGAAAUAAAAUUUUUGGCGGGAACUGUUUACCGAAUCCGGCCGUGUAUCCGGCCAGUUCUUGGCCGGAUAUCUAGCUGGAUUAGCAGAGGAUUUUGAAAAAUUUUUGGGUUGCUCAUUGCCUGGAAUCCGGCCGGAUAUCCGGCCAAGUCUUGGCCGAAUUGUGAUGUGGCAGCUACUGUUCAUUUUCAUCUUCAUUUUCGAUCUUCGUUGUUCGUUGAACGUGAAUCGUUUGAUUGCAGUGUUAUCGCUCAGAAUGGUUUGGCCUUCGUGUUCUCGGCUUAGUAAUCUUAGAUUGUUAUUUUCUUGGGGUUCAAUUGUGCGCUAUGUAGGGUUUUUGUGAUUUGACUCUGUAGUCCUGGCGAGAGUUGGGCAGGCGGUCCGCCAAACACUUUGGUUCGCUUUAGGGGGAAGGUGGGGUUGUCACAAUUGGUAUCAGAGCCACUUCGCGUGGUUUCUGCAAAGAGUGAGUUUGGGCCUAGUGGUGUUAUGGUCCCAAUUGUGUGAAUAAGUGUAAAGGACACUACAAGAAAUUUGGUCAUUAGUGACAACAUUUUCUAGUGAUGAAAAAAGGUCAUCACAAAAUGCGGCCCAUUACCAACAAUAGGAAAGGUUGCCACAAUUAACUGAAAGGGGCAAAGGCAGCAGUGAUGACCCUUAAAUGUUGUCACAAAUGGACUCCCGCCAAAGUGCGGGAAACUACAUCUGUGGCGACUCUCUAAAUGUCAUCAGUAAUAAUUCCCCUUUAUUUGAUAGUUUGUCCAUUGUUGUCACUGAUAAUAAUUGAUGUAGUUAGUGACAACUUGCUCUUGUCACUAUUUUAUCUAAAAUAUUUGUACACGUUUUAUAGCUAUUAUUGUGUAUUUUCUUUUUAAUGAAUUAUUAACUAUUGGGAACUCAAGUUUUGUCUUGCAAAUCAAUGCUAGUACAAUAAUUUAGAGCAAAAUUAACCACUAAAAUAAACUAUUUAAAGCAUAACAAAAGUACAUUUUCACUUGGAGUAAUGUAACAAAAUUUUACCAACCAUUAUGAGUAUUUUCACAAAAAUAUUAAAAAGUACCAAUUGAUAAUAUAUUACUAAAAUUAUACUAUUUCAACUAAAGAGUAAAAGUAAAAAACUUUAUUUGAAAUUUUGCUACCAAACAAGUAGGGGGAAAACUAAGGAAUUGAAAUUCAUUGAAAAUGAAUAAAUAAAGAUAUAGGCAUGGGUAUUGUAAAACACUUACAAACAAAAAUGGACAAGACCAUCGGCUACCAACUCUUUCACUCACUUUCAACACUUAGAACCAAUUCACCAAAUAGAACUUCUCUUCCUCCUCUCGGCCGAACCAAAUAGAACUUCUCCUCCUCAUCUCGAUUGAUUGAUAAUGGCUCCGCAACACUGAACGGAAGACCAUGUCAGCCACCAACUCUUUGCAAAAGGUGUGUCCUUUAUCCUUUUCUUCCCUAAUUUUACCCUAAAAUUUGUUUGCCCUAAUUUUUUUUGCCAAGAAGUUUUGUCCAGUUUUUUUGGGUUUCAUUUGAUUUAUGGAUGGAGUCAUCUUCUCCUUGUGGAAUUUGUUUAAUUGUAGUUUUAUGCCCUAAUUAAUUUUUGCCAACUUUGUCUUGAACAAGGAAAGGGUUUUAGUGGGAUUGGAGUGUGGGUAUGUAUGGGUUUGUGAUAGGUCUAGGAGGGCAAAUGUAAUGCUAUAUUUGUUUGUGGCAAAGAUAAUUAGUACAUAAUUUUGUGAACUUUUGGCAGUGAGUGGUUGCAUGUGAGGAAAAUAAUUGGUGAAGUGGUGUUGGGUGAAGAGGGAAAGGGAAAAUAGUGAUUGGGGGUUAAAUUAAGUGGAUGAGUAGCCAGAGAUAUAGUUACAAGGUUUGGUGAAAUUUUUCUGCAGUGAAAGAUGUAUUUUUUUGGGUUAAAAUUUGGUAAAUUGACAUGGAAAUUUGAAGAGUGAACUGUUUAUCCAUUUGGAGUGUGCUUUCUCCUCCACAUUACCUAAGUUUUCUAUGUAUGGACCUGUUUCUUAUUUAUUUGGUUUCAAUUGGUAAUUUUUGCCUAUUUCCUGAAAAGGGAUCUCCUCAAUUCCUAGAAAUAGAUCGACCUUUGGACUCUUGCCACUCUUGGUUCAUUGCUUUAUGUUACUAUAGAUGAAUGCAGCUCAAGAUUUGAUAUUUAAGAAAUGGGUCUCAAGAACCACUUGCAACUUUCUUGAGUUUCAUUUCAAAUUUAACAUGUCGAUGGAUGUAAAAAAAUUUUAUGUUAUUUACAGGAAAGGAACUACAAAGACAUGAUUUUGAUCUAAAAUUCAUGCAUUCUUGGGAGUUAGGAAGGUGUUUGUUGGAAGAUCUGCUUUGCCUAUGUUUUGACUGAUUUCUAUGAUGCAAGUUAUAGUUAUCAUUAAAAAGUAGCAUCUUUUCGUUAAUUUCGAGGGAUGAUUUUAUCAACUAGUAAAUAUUUUUUAUUUGUGUUUGAUUUUCCUGCCAAUUAAUGAAUAUGAUAGGAGUAAUUUUCUUUUCCUUCCUUUUGGAAGUUUUUGCAUGGUUUAGUUGAGUCAUUUGUCUGAGAGUAAUUGAUUCAGCUUCCUUUUUUUUUUUUUUUUGCAUUAUCGUUUGCUGACUUAUUGGCCAAGAGGGCUCUCAAUUAGUUUUAGGUCCAAGAAUUCUUUCUGUAGUUUUCUAAUGCUAGUAUAGCUUCAAGUUAGCUUCUUAAUCUCUCCUGCAGUCGACUGAUUUUUGUUAUUAUUUGCAGCAAUUGAACCUGUUGACAAAGGCUUCAGAUUCAUAUUUGGGUCUAGGAUAUUACAAUCUACCAAUCAAGCUACCGUUUUCGCUUGUGGUACCUUUAUACUCUCUAUCUCCUCUUUGCUUCUGUUUUUCUGUUAUUUAUAGCCAGUCCAAUUUGCUAGAAAUUUAUACUUUCUAAAUCAUCCUAAAAAUUGUAAUGUUGCUAUACAGCUACUAAAUACACUAUGUAUAUAACGCAUAUGUAGGUACACAGUGGUUAAUGUGAUUUAAUAGCUAAGACUAAUUACUAUGAUUUUUUUUGUACUUUUUUGUAUCCUUGCUCCAGUUCGUGACAAUCUCAAAUAUAGUUGUGUUCCACUUUGUUUACUUUUCAUUGUUGUUGUUUGGGAAGAUUAAAUUAACUGCCGUGUCUUCAUUAUAAUAUCAUGCUUGCAUAUUUUUUUUUGUUAGGAUAAAAGGCAAAAAAACAUGAACAUGAAUGAGAGUUGGAUGUCAAUUAAAGAUUACCUAGAUCCUAGAUAUUUGACAGGAGUGAAAGAAUUUGUUGAGUUUGCUUAUUUAGCCAAAGAUCCCACAUAUAAGCUCCCUUGUCCAUGUAAAGUGUGCAACAACUUUGAAGAUCAAACUAUGGAGGUCAUGAAAAGUCAUUUGUGUGGUGGAAUUGUUUAGAGCUAUACUAGAUAUGUAUAUCAUGGUAAAACUUUGAAGAUUCUGAUGAUGAUGAAAAUGACAACAUAAAUAUAGAUGAAAAAAAAUAGUGAGUCCGAUGAUAUUCAGGAAAUGUUAAAUGACGUAGAAGCAGCUAACUUUGGUGAGAAUUGGAGAAAUUUGGGGGAAUAUAAUAGGGAUAUUUCAAAUGAGCAAGAAGGCAAGUAGGUUUCUUAGAUUAUUAUCCGAAGCUAAAAAAAGUCUUUACCUAGGCUGUGAUAAGUACUCCAAACUCUCCUUUGUUGUCCAUAUCUUUCUUUUGAAAACCAGGAAUUGAUGGACUUUGCAAAUCUGCCAAUAUGUUACUGAAAUUUCUCAAUCAAGUGUUUCCCAUGGUAUCAUUUCCUAGUUCAUACUAUGAUGCAAAAAAUUUAAUUCAUGAGUUGAGCCUCAAGUGUGAAAAAAUACAUGCAUGUGAAAAUGAUUGUGCACUAUAUUGGUAAGAAAAUGAAAGCCUAGAUCACUACCCGAAUGAUAAAUGUAAAUCACCUAGGUAUAAAUCUCCUGGUUCUAAAAUUCCUAGAAAAGUGUCUCGCUAUUUCCCAUUACAACCGAGGUUGCAAAGAGUAUUUUUAAGCAUAAGGAGAAAUGUGUUGACAAUGAAAACACAAUGAGACACCAGGCUGAUUCAAUAGCUUGGAAGGAGUUUGACAAAACUCAUUCAUCUUUGGCUAAGGAUCCUCGCAGUGCUAGGCUUGGGCUUUCAACUAAUGGUUUCAAUCCCUAUGGAAAUAUGAAUAAUACAUACAAUAUGUGGCUUGUAAUCCUUGUUCCUUAUAAUUUGCCACCUUUGAAAUGCUUAAAGGAGCCAUUUUUCCUAUUAUCAAUAAUUAUUCCAAGUCCUAAAUGCACAUGAAAUAAUAUGGAUAUAUUUUUUAGGCCUUUAAUUAUUGAGCUAAAAGAAUUAUUUGACACUGGCUUUGAGACUUAUGAUGCAGCCAUAGGAGAAAAUUUUAUGUUACUUGCUGCUCUUUUAUGGACAACAAGUGAUUUUCUAGCAUAAGCCUAUUUGUCAUGCUGGAGUACUAAAGGCUACAAUGCACUUGCAAAUCGUCCACUAUAUAUUGAUGAAUUAGGUUAGAAUUACCUUUCUGACUACUCCUGUAGUCCAAAUUUUGUGGUGCAUAGGCUAACUUUUGAUCUUUACUACUCUUAUUACUCAUAUCUUUGUUCAUUUUGAUCUUGGUUAAACUUCGUAAGUGCAGAAGAUGAGUGAGAGGAAUAAGAUCAAUAGUUCAAAGCAAAAACCACUCACAUAGUUGGAACAAAAUCCUUUCUUCAUCAUAAAACUAAUCGGGUAAUUGGCUAUCCUAAACAUGUAUUUCAGAUUGUCUAGUCAAGUUUUUUUAAUAUUUUAAACUAUUAGGAAGCACAAGAAGAAAGGGAAGUUGGACCAAUAGAAAUUUAUGACAUCACGCACUUCGGCAAGAAGAAGAAUAUAAUGGUUGACCAGACAUUUGCUAUGAACUUACUAAGAAAAUACAAAUUUUACUUGAAAAUAUAAUUUGUUCAACUCUCAUGCAUAUCUAACUUUGGAAAUUUUAUGAUUGUAGAGCAAGGUGAAAGAGAAAUUGUUGGAAUUUGAAUCUAGUGGUGCAAAUAGGAGUGAAGUGGACAUUUCCAUUGAAGUAAAUGAACAUGUAACUAGAUGUACAUGGUCGUGGUCUAUCCUAAGCUAUUGUAAUUGCACAAUAACUUUCAGAGAGAGAAGAAUUCAAGAAAAGAGUAUAACAAGCCGAAAAGCACUUAGCUGAAUUGGAAAUGGCAGUCCAAUCCCAACAGCAACUUAUGGAGAGGCUUGUAAACCAACAAAGUGAAAUGCAGAACCAAGACACAUCUACUCAUAUUGAAUGGUAAGCAAUUUUCAACUAUAUAUACUUGUCUAAAUUGUGUUAUGUUUGUAAAUGAGACGCUCUUGUAAUUUUACAGCAUAUAUGAGACCUUGAAUUGUGACUAAGACAUAUUUAUUAUAGAUACAGUGGCUGUUGCGAUUCAAAAAUAGCAUAAGUUAUUGAACCUUAAUCCUUGGUCUGUGACAAUAUUAACAUGUAAUUUGCCAAAGAAUUUAGUAAAUGCUUGUUACUUUUUUUUAUUUAGGAAAUUUGAAGGUUGUUAUACGUCUUUGAUAUUAAGAGCUUCCUUUGCCUGUGACAAUACUUGUUUUUUACUCUCUACAAUUGGUUCCUAUGUGCAUAUUAAGAGCUAUCUUUGAUUUUGUCUCUUAUUCUGCUCUUUAUGUAGUCACUAUUUGGAUGAGAGUUUAAAUAAAUGAGACUUUAUUUUUUUGUGAAUCCUCAUUUGAUUUUCCUUUUCUCAAGUUUGUUUUGUCAUCUACUAAUAAUUGUAUUUUUCUAUUGCAGAUAUAUUGCACAUUUUAGAGUUUUGGAAGAUGAGUAGCCGGGGCUAAUUAUUGACUCAAAGACUGGUUAUAGUGCUAUCUUAUGCUUAGGGAAUGUUUCGGGCAACACAAAAAUGUUUUGGGACUUGGAUUCGUUUUGUAUUGCUCCCUUGCCUUAUAUGAUAAAACUCACUCUGAUACUACUUGUCAAACUCUUUAUAAUGUGAUGUUGCACAAAAUUGUGAUAUUGGAAGGAUUAUUAUGAUAUUUUGGCAUUUUCUAUUGUAAUGGGUGAAUGCGUUUGUUAUUCAUUAAGCAUUGUUGGUGGCUCCCAUUUUUUUAUAUUACUGUAGCAAGAAAUAUAUCAGACUACACAGUGACAAGAUAUUGUAACUGAAUCACAUUUCUCCAAUGAUAAGCGCCUAUUGUUAGUAAAUCAGGUGCCUUUAUUGACAACAAUUGUUGUGACUGAAUUAAAUUCUAUACUAACAACAAUAUGUUGUCACUGUUGAAAGGUGUUUAGUGACAACAAAAUUGUUAGUAAUUGGACCAUAUACUGAUGACUAUUGUUGAGUUUUUGUGACGAUAUUGCUUCAUGCAUCAUUGACAAGAAGCCAUGUUGUCACUAAACUCCAAGCAUUUAUUGAUAAGAAAAGUUGUCACAAAAGCUCUUUAUUCACUGACGACUUUUAAGUCAUCAGUGUAUACUUUUACCGACGGGCAUUCAGUGACAACCCUGUGAUGACCGGAAAGUUGUCAGUAAAAUCCAUUAGUGAUGACUUUUUACUUUUUGUGACAAGAAUAGGUUGUCACUAAAGACCAAAUUUCUUGUAGUGGGACUUAGUGCUUUUCUUGGGCGUAAGCUAUGAAUCGUGCCUACUAUAAGUGUGAAUCCCUUAUUAUGAUACUUGAGAAAAAUAGAUAUGUAUGUUGGAUAGGAAUCUCUAAUAUAGAUGAUUUACUCUUGGGACAGGCCGGCUCGAGUUGUGAAUUAUUUUAUGGUGGAUUCUUGUACUUGAAUACCAAAUAGUGGAGAGCACUAGAAUAAGGAUUUGUAUCUUGAUUGCACUAAGGUGAGUUUUGAUGGCAAAGGUCAAAGUACAGAAGAUUCUAACAUUUGACCUAGUGAAUUAGACUGAUUGGAGAGAUUGGAUAUAGAAGGGUUAUCAUGGAUUAAUCUAGUCAUAGCCUGAUUAGGGAUUCUAUAGGCAGCGACCAGAUUAUAGUGUACAUCGAGAAAUUUGCAUCGAAGACCUGUUUCUUUCCCCUAUGCCCGUGAGGACUUGAUAAGUGUUUACUGGCCUUUGAGACAGUUUAAUUGCAAUUAUAUAGGUAUUUUAAACCCUUUUAUGAUAUCGGAUACUUGUAACUUGGUUCUUGAUGAAUUACCUUUGCUUAUACUUCCUUGCUACCUAACCACUAAUGUCAAAGUGUGGACUUGACUUGAUUAUUAUCGUGCCGAGAUCAGGAGUCUGGAAUUAGGUAUGGAAAUUUUAGAAAAAAGAUUUGGUUUCUAUACCUGUAUGCAAAACUUGAGAUAGGGUGUGAAACUAUUUAGAUAUGAAGCAUGUUUUAGGGUUUCGUUAGGUAUAUAAGUGAUAAGUGGCAUAGUAUAUUAAGAUAUUGCCCUAACUAUGUUUUACUUUCUCAUCUAUUUUAUUUGGAAAUACCUAAGUGUAAUUUUUUUUUUCGUGGUUGGAUUGGGAGUGAGGGAACUUUACAGUUAUAUGGUUUGAGUCCUGAGUGUACUCAGUUACUUAUUUUGAUCUCUUAAUUUGUCUGGCAAGCUAUCACUUGAGUUCGAGCGAAUUGGGGAGACGACACAUUUGACUGAUAUGUAUAAGGAAAUAGAGAUUCUUCAAAAGGAAAUAGAGUUCCAAAAGAGAUUAGGUGAGUAUUGGGAAGGGUGAUGGAAACAGGAGUAUUCGGAAAAAAUUGAGUUACUAUACAAGAACAUAGAAUUGAAGAAGAAAUAUGAAGAGAUCCUAGAAGAGGUACGGAGUAAGUUUGAGUUAGUGCCUUUGUCUAGUCGAACAGUAUCUCAGGACAUUCCUAGUAAUAAAGAUAAAUGGGGUGAAGGAAGUUCUUGCGAUAUCAAAGGAAAACAUAAAGAGAUGUAUGGAGAUGGAUCCGCUACGAAGGAUAAAGGAAAAAAGGAGAAAAAGAAUGGACACUUCCAGAAGAAAUGUAUAGCUGCUAAGUGUGAAUCAUGUAAUGAACUUCAUACGGGAACUGCCCAAGACAAAUGAAUUUUGGGAUGGUGAAACUGCUGUAAUAGUUAAAGUCAGCAAUUAGUGAUGUGUUAGCUGAAAUAAUUGCAUUUGUGAAACUAUGUAUAUGCAAACUUGAUGUAGUAAGUGUAUUCCCGAUAGAAGUAGUGAAUCUAGUAUUGGAUCUUUUGAUAAGUAAUAUUAAAUAUUGGUGAUUGGAUAGUUUUGAUUCCUGAUUCAUGAAUUUUUUAUUAUAGCUUAGUUUUGAAGUUAAGUGAAAAUUGCUGUUUGUGGUUCGAAAGGGGGAACUUUUGACAUUUUCACUAAUUUUCUUAGUAGGGAGUUUAAUCAUUGCAUUCUUACGAUUUUCUCUCUAGGUUUGAUUGUGGUAACGGUAUGAGUAAAGGGAAGCUCUUGAAAAGUAGAAGAUAUCACUGUAGAAUUUAGUUUUGUGGGCAAAAGAAGAAAAUUUCGAGGAUGAAAUUUCUUUAAGGGGGAGAGAGUGUGAGGACCUGUAAAAUUUUCUUAUAUUAUAUUAUUUUUGCAUGCAUUUCAUUUACUUUACUUUACUAUAUUAAUUUUUCAAAGAUUUUUAUAAGUGAAUAUAGUUUUUAAAUCAUUUUUCUGGUAUAAAUUAGUAUACGUUAAAUUUGAAGUGCAUUGUGGAUGUGGGAUCGGCUAGUGCGAUAAAAUUUUUACGAUUAGGUGAAAAGGUAUUCAGAAAUAUUAUUUUACAAGGUGUUAGGAGACAAUUAGAGAUUAACCAGAUAGAUUAACCAUUGGGAGAAAGAAUAUAAGCUUGAACCCUAAAAAGUGCCAAGUGUCACGACCCGAUUGGAUGUGACUGACCAAUUUUUCUUUACCUUUACCAAUUAUCAAAUUUUGACCAAAAAGCAUCUUCAUUUUCUUGCUUCUUGGCUGGCCCUCAAGAGAGAAAAGAACAAGAAAGAAACUUCAUUUUCAACUUCUAAACUUGCUUGAAUCUUGAGAUUUAGUCAACCACUUUGCAAACCAUUUCAUAAAAGUGUUAACUAAGGAAUACUAAAGGUGUUGGUGGAAUGAUUUUGAAGAAGAAAGCACCAAGCUUCCAUCUUUCUUGAAAGAACAAGGUAAUCUUGGCUAGAAUCUUCCCUCUACUUCAAUUAAUUGUCAAUUAGUGGAUUAUAGUUGCAAAAUAGGUAAUUUUAUGAGACAUAUGAUGGUUUGAAGUGGUGUUAUGAACAUUUUCAAAUUUUAUGGGGAUUUUUCUUCCCUUAUGUCAUGAGUAAUAAUUGGCUAUAGUUUGAUAGCUUUAUUAUGUGAAAUACUAGGGUAUUAUGGGUUAGAUGGACUUGUUUAAAGAAACUUUCAGAUUUUGGGAGUAAAUUUCAAAUUAGGGUUUCAAUUUAGGGCUUUAUUGUGUUUGGUUUUGGAGCUAUUAAUUGGCUCAAAUUGAAGGGGUAUUGUGGCCUAAUUAUGUGUGGUUUCUAACUUAUGUGUUGCGUGUGUAAUUGUGGUUGAUUUGAGUUGAGAUUGGUGAUGACUUGGAGGGUGGAAAGUAAAGAAAAACAAGGUUGAGCAGUUUUGAGAAAUCUAUUGUAUCUUGAUGACGAAAAAUUGGAAUUACGUUCUGUUUGUUGCAUUUGAAACUAUAUUCAUAGAGCUACAAACCAUGAAAAUUUUAGACCCUAGUUCUGUCUGUGUGAUUUAUGGUGAUUUUUCCAAUGUUGACUAAAAUUACAUACUUGUUCUGUCUUUUACUUGAUGAAGCAGCGACUUGAGGCUCGAAUUUGACUGACUUGUGGUAUGAAUCUUAUAAAUGUGUCUUCUGAGAAUUUGUACCCCUUUGAGUCUAUUUUUCGACAGUAUAUAUUUUAUCAAUUUUGAACUUAAGAAUCUUGAGAUAUGAUUUUUCAAAUGGUGGUGGGCAAAACUGGAAAAUCCUAUUUUCCUAGAAUUAUUCUUACUUUCAUUUUGCACCUUAAAUUUAGAGUUAGUAAAUCAUUGUAGGUAUGGUUUUCGGUAGAAGCGAAGGAUUUUUGGAUCGUUCAUGUCUUUAGGACCAGCUACUAACUUUUCACUCCAAAACUAUACUUUUGUGUUGCAUUGAUAAUUAGGCAUAUGACUCGUAAUCGAGUAUCAAUUAUUUUACCUUGGUGGUUUAGGAUGUGCCAGUGAUCCAAGUACUUCGGAAGGAAACAUUUGAAGUUGUUUGUUUGAAUUGGUAAGUAUACCACUCCCCUAAUUUGUUGCUUAUCUCGGCUUUCUGUGACUUUUGUAUACUUUGUAUGAAACGAGGGUGUACUUUAUCACACUCGUUUCUCUCAUCUGUUUAUUCUGGUUUCUGUAUAUUGUAAAGUCUGUAUUUGUUCUCUGUAUCUGUUCUCUGUAUUUAUUGAUGUCGUUUGGAGGGUUGAGUUCAACGACCAUUUUAUGACUUUUGAACUCAAAAUCGGGAGCUAGUUACUCGAGUCGAACCGGCAAGGGGCCUAGUCGAUUAGAUAACGAACCACGGUAAUCCACUUCUAGGAAAUCUUUGGAUAUUGGAGACUCUGGAUUUCCGGUAUACUCGAGUAUUACCACCCACUGUUACUGUUGAGGUGUUCGGGCCUGGUAAGGGAUAUGUUUGGUGGACGGAAUUUGGCGUAAAGUGGUGCUCUAUUAGACUGGUUACUAUACUUGAAAGUUGACGGAGUAUCAACUACUACUUGAUCAAGCACUAAUGAAGAAAAAGGGAAUUUGGCUCUUGAGAGCCAUUUGUAUCUUUUCUAUUUGAGAUGGUUAUUCAUUUCCUUAUUUGACGUGAUCAUUUCAUUGAUUCCAUAAUUCCUGAUUGCUUGUAUAUUGGGUACCUCAUUGAACGUAAAAUCACCACCUUCCUGUUAUCUUUGUUUUCUUUACAGGGAACAACACUUUUGAACCGUGAUUUUAAAGAAAGGGUCGAGUUAGUAUAAACGUUCUUUUGUAAUCAAAACCCUAAUUUGUCUCUUAAUCAAGUAUCACGUUUUGAUUUGUAAAGUUUUCAAUGUAUGUAUAUAAGUGUUUAACCAUGUACAUUAAGUGUAUUCGUUUGAUAUGGUACCUUUGAAUUUGUUGAGAUGCUACUUGCAACCAUUGGUCGAGCGGACGAGCAUGAUGUUUGAACAAGGAAAGAAAAUUUCUGGCGGGAACUGUUCACGAAUCCGGCGGUGUAUUCAGCCAGUCCUUGGCCGGAUAUCUGGCCGGAUUAGCAGAGGAUUUUGAAAAAUUUUUGGGUUGCUCACUGCCUCGAAUCCGACCAGCAAUCCGGUAGGAUUGUGACGUGGCAGCUACUGUUCAUUUUCAUCUUUUUUUUUGUUUUUCAUUUUUCGUUGUUCGUGAAUCGUUUGAUCGCAAUGUUAUCGCUCAGAAUGGUUUGGCCUUCGUGUUCUCGGCUUAGUAAUCUUCGAUUGUUGUUUUCUUGGGGUUCGAUUGUGUGUUAUGUAGGAUUUUUGUGAUUUGACUCUGUAGUUCUGGUGAGAGUUGGGCAAGCGGUCCACCAAACCCUUUGGUUCGCCUUAAGAAAAGGUGGGCGGCCACAAUGGGGACCUGCCAAGACUCCAUCCCUUGGAGACAGGUACUAUUUUGUCGCUUUUGUUGAUAAUUUUUUCAGAAGAGUUUGGGUAUUUACUGUGAAUAACAAAGAUAAUGUGCUAGGGGUUUUCCUUAAAUGGAAGGCUCAGGCUGAAAAUCAGACGGGAAGAAAGAUCAUGGUUCUCCGAACAGACAACAGCGGAGAAUACAAGAGUGAUCCCUUUCAGGAGAUAUGCCAAGAGUGUGGCAUAGUUUGGCAUUUCACAGUUAGAAGAACACCACAGCAGAAUGGGGUGUCAGAGCGUAUGAACAAGACACUAGUGGAGAAAGCACGUUGCAUGCUGUCUAAUGCUGGGUUAAACAGAAAAUUUUGCCCUGAGGCUGUGACAUACACUUAACAUCUCGUUAAUCGCUUGUCAUCAUCUGUAAUCGAUGGUAAGAUUUUAUUAGAGGUAUGGUUUGGAAAACCUGCAACAGACUAUGAUUCUUUACAUAUUUUUUGUUCUAUUACAUAUUAUUAUGUAAAUGAAUCAAAGUUGGAUCCACGAGCAAAGAAGUCUUUCUUUAUGGGCUUUAAUGUUGGAGUUUAGAGAUACCGUUUGUGGUGUCUAAAAGCAAAGAAAACCAUUAUUAGUAGGGAUGUUACCUUUGAUGAAUAUGCCAUGUUGAAUAAGAUAACCCAAGAUGGGACCAAUGUUACUCCAUAAUAGGUGGAGUGUAUGCCGAAACAAAUAGAGUUUGAGCAAAUAAUGGUGAGUCUAACAAAUAGCACCAUCAGUGACUCUCAUAUGGCAGAAGAGGAGUCAAAUCAGAAAGAGAUUUCUACCCAAGAACCUCAAUAACAGCAAGAGUCAAUUGCCGUCAAUAGGCCAAAACGAGAAAUUCAAAAACCUGUUCGUUUUGCUAACAUGGUGGUUUAUGCACUUCCAGCUGUUGAUGAUGUUCCAUCAACCUUUUUUGAAGCAGUUCGAAGUGCAAAAAAUGGUAGAUGGAAAGAUGCUAUGGAAGAAGAGAUGCAAUCUCUUUAGAAGAACAAGACGUGGAAGUUGAUAUAACUACUGAAGGGCAAGAAGGCAAUUGGAUGCAAAUGGAUAUUUGCAAAGAAAGAAAGAUUUCCUGACAAGAUUGAUGCUCGCUACAAGACAAGAUUGGUGGCUAAAAACUACGCUCAGAAAGAGGAAAUUGAUUAUAAUGAGAUAUUUUCUUCAGUUGUUAAAUAUUCCUCUAUUAGAAUUUUGUUGGCCUUGGUAGCACAGUUGAAUUUGGAGCUAACUCAAGUUGAUGUGAAGACCGCGUUCCUUCACGGUGACUUGAAGAAAGAAAUCUAUAUGUCUUAGUCAGAUAGAUUCAAAGUUACUGGUAAAGAGAAUUGGGUUUGUAAGAUGAGCAAAUCGUUGUACAAAUUGAAGCAUUCAUCGAGGCAAUGGUACAAACGAUUUGACCAGUUCAUGAUGGACCAGAAGUACACAAGAAGCAAAUAAGAUCAAUGUGUGUAUUUGUGCAAAUUACGAGAUGAUUCCUACGUCUACUUACUCUUGUAUGUUGAUGAUAUGCUAAUAGUAUCAAAGAGCCAAGUUGAAAUUGACAAAAUGAAGGCUCAAUUGAAUAAAGAGUUCGAGAUGAAGGAUUUGGGAGAAAUUAAAAAGAUUCUCAGUAUGGAGAUAAGCAGGGAUAGAACGAGAAGUAAGUUUUGUCUAACACAGAAACAGUAUUUGAAUAAGGGACUACAACGUUUUGGUAUGAAUGAAAGUUCAAAACCUGUAAGUACUCCGCUUGCUUCUCAUUUGAAACUUAAUAGCCUAUUAUCUCCAAAGGCGGGUGAAGAGCGAGCAUAUAUGACGAAAGUCCCGUAUGCUAAUGCAAUUGGUAGCUUGAUGUAUGCAAUAGUGUGUAUGAGACCCAACAUUUCACAGGCAGUUAGUGUGGUAAGCAGAUUUAUGCAUGAUCCGAGCAAAGGUUAUUAGCAAGCUGUGAAAUGGAUUCUACGGUAUAUCCAAGAUACUGUAGAUGUUGGAUUAGUAUUUGAGCAGGAUGAAUCACUUGGUCAAUUUGUAGUUGGAUAUUGUGAUUCUGACUAUGCAGGUGACUUGGAUAAGCGACGUUCGACAACUGACUCUUUGUUCACAUUUGCCAGGGCACUAGUUAGUUGGAAAUCUACUUUGCAAUCAAUAGUAGCUUUGUUUACAACAGAGGCAGAGUAUAUGGCGAUUACUGAAACUGUGAAGGAGGCAAUUUGAUUUCAAGGAUUGUUUGAAGACUUGGGAGUUGGUUAAAAAUACAUUAAUGUGUUUUGUGAUAGUCAAAGUGCUAUUCACUUAGCAAAGAACUAUAUCUUGCAUGCAAAAAUGAAACACAUUGAUGUUCGCUAUCACUUUGUAUGAAAAAUUCUCGAAGAAGAGGAGAUUUUUCUCCAGAAAAUUCGGACUACGGAGAAUCCUGUAGAUAUGAUGACCAAGGUGAUUAUAAGGUCCAAAUUUAAACAUUAUUUAUACUUGGUCAACAUCCAACACAUUUGAGUUGGCGCCUGAGGGCGCAAAUUUGGAAGCACCGCAAGGACCAUUUGUUAUUUUUGUUUGAGGGAGAAGGUUUAUAUUUUUGGUGGAACUAGAAAUUAUGUCAAGGUGGAGAUUUGUUGACUUUUGGCAUAUUUGCUAAGUCCCACAUCGGUGACUUUAGAAAUUGAAGGAUUGCUUGAGAGUUAUAAAAUAAUUCUCAAACUUCCUAAUAGAAACACACCAAAGAAGAGACACCAAACUUCUCCCAAAUUUAUUAAGAACAUGUCACUUAGGCGGUAUUCGAAAAUUAGGCAAAAUUAGUUGAACUCCAUUAUCAAUUUUCGGGUGCAUUCUUUCCUUAUCUCUUUUAUUUAUUCCGCAUUUAUUUAGUAGUUUCUUUUCAAUUGUAGUAUAACAUUCAAUAUAUUUGUCGGGUUUAUUUGUAGUAUUUUAUACGGUUCUUUUGGAUAUAUUUUUCUUAUUCAUGUGUACGUACCAUUUAUGUAUACACAGAUCUAAUUGUGAUAAUACACCAUGCACGUAAAUUCUGUCAUAAGAAAACUGGGUUUUAAGUAGGACCGCUUGUGACCCCUCCAACCUUUCCUGGAAAUUUACUUGGAAUGAUAAUUCUGUUUAAGAAAAUUUUUUAAUGAUCUUUCUUAAGAAUUAUUGAAUCAGUUUAAAUUACUAAUACUAUUUUUGAGUGAAAAAUUACCCAAUUUUCCCAACAAAAAGAUCUAGAUUUGUGCCACGUUCAAGAAUCUCCUAGCGCCUCAAUUGUGGUCUUUCUUGUUAUUUGUCCACUUCAUGAUAUUAAUUGAGGUGUUCAAACAACAAUUAAUUUCUUUCAGCAUGAUUCCUUUGACUUUCUAGGACAUAUUUGAUAGUACUAUAUAUAUAUAUAUAUUUGUUUAACUCAUGGUUGUAGUCUCCUUAAUAUCUUGUAUGUGAAAAGUGCACCGGAAAGUGAUUAUUUCUGAAGUGCUUUUAUUUACAUAGUUUAGCAGUUUCUUUUUUGGGUCGAAAAUUUAGUUUAUUAGUCAAUAAUAGAAAUGUGUCAUGAUUCCAGUCUUGUUAGUGUAAGUAGGAUUAUACUAUCCACUAUAACAAUCUUUUUUUUUUUUUGAUUGACACAGGAAUAUCCUGACUUAUGUCAAACUAGUCCCCUGUGAUAGUGCAGAACCUACUCUAAAGAUGCACUGUCAACCUAGUGGCCUCAAUGUAAAGAUCCAAGAGAGGCGCCAUUUGAUCUACCUAUGGGAGCCCACUAUAGCAAUCAGGUGCAGUACAACUUGCAUUCAAGCAGUCUUGGACAUGGUUUAGCAUAGUGUGUGAUUUACCAUGUGUUAAUUCUGACAUCAAAUGAGCUUAUGAAAUGUGUAAUAGCUUUUGAACCCCAAUGCCUAGCUUAGAUGGGAACAGUGUUUUUCACUGGAAGGAAUCAGGUACAAUAAUAUUACAACAUAGAAAGAGGCAGAAGAAAUACAUGUAUUCCAAGAAAGAGGAAGUAACAAGGACAACGAAAGUGUAAGGGAGAGAGUAUAAAUUAUAAAGAAUGUAAGUUAGAGAAGACGGUUAGGCAACAGCAACAAAUUUCAGGGCUAGCCUGCAGGCCAAGUGAAGCACUUGGUUCAAGACCGCAGAAGCUUAGGACAUGUCAUUCUUUCCAUAAUUCUGUUUUAUCAAUCUUACAGCAGAUUUCUUCUUCAUUCUUUUUGGAUAUUAUGGAUACUACAACAUACAAUUACUUUGCUUUUUGAAUAAUUCAGCUUGAUGUAUAGAAUCCAUCACAACUACAUUUAAGCAUAUUCAUGAACAGAUCUCCCUUACUGAAUACCUGCAAAGUGUGAUCUUGAUAAUUUCCUUCACAUUUGAUCACUCCAUCUAACUCAAUUCAUCACUUGUGGCUAGGGGUGAGCAUCGAAUUCGAAUUCGGUAAUUCGGUAGGUUGAAAUCGAUAAUUUUCGGUAAAUGGUGUUGGGAUAUUUCGACCUAAUUCGUAUUCGAAUUACCAAAUUCCGAAUUCGAAUUCAAUUCGGAUUGAAUUCGGUAAACACAAAUUGACCGAAUUGUCCGAAUUCCUGAAGCAAUCGCAGCCUGUUUUGCUUUGUAUAAUAAAAUAAUUUCUAGCAAUAAAAUAAGUGCUGUUCACAAUUAUCAUUCAUAAAGCUGCACCAAAAUAAUCAAAAAAUAGAAGUAGUAAUCACGUCCAUAGGCACAAUAGCCAGAUGAUUGCACUACCAAAUCACAACAUAUAAAACCUCUUCCUAGUAGCUAACGCCUACCAGUUCAAAACAGCAUUACUUAAGAAAUCACAAAUCCAAACAGAAUCUAGAAAACUUCAAAAUUACUAACUAUCCCAAACUUCAUACAUAUCCAGAAAUGACAAAUCCACAAAUCCAGAAAUCAUAAAUUCACAAUCAGAAAUUACAGAAAUCAAUCCAGAAAUCAUAAAGGUCAAUUAUCUAGAAACAAUCCACAAUCCACAAGAACAAACAAUUAUAGGUGGUUCAACUCUCAAACUUCAGCAUUUGUGACCUCUCAAAGGUCAAUUACAGUUGAUUCAGUUCCGGUCUUCAGCAACUCUGCAAGAACAAACAAAAUUCAUGAAGUAUCAUAAAGGCAAUUAUUAAAAAUAAAGAAAUACUUCAAAUUUUGCAAUAAAAAUUUUGAUAGCAUACCAGAUUCGAAGGCUUCAAGUUCUUCCAGAUUUUCUUCUACAUUUAAUUCUGUCUUGGAGGACCGAAACCAAUCUUGAGCACAUAUUAAACUUUGCACAAUUCUAGGAGUCAAAGAACUCCUAAAUGUAUCAAGAACACGACCUCCGGUACUAAAAGCAGAUUCGGAGGCCACAGUAGAAAUUGGGACUGCUAACAUAUCACGAGCAAGUUUUGAAAGGAUUGGGAAUCUAAGGCUAUUGGCCUUCCACCAUAACAAGAUAUCAAAUCUCUCAUCAUCUUCCUCACAAUCCUCAUUCAAAUAUUUCUCUAAUUCAGAUUUUGCAUCCCUACCCCCAAGUUCCAUUUUUCUCUUCUUAAACUCCAACUUGUACCGAUCAGUGAUUGUUUUAGAGGCAUCCCCAUAUCCAUAAAAUGUAGUUUUACUCCUUUGAGAUUCACUUGAAAGUGAAGAAACAUGAGACACAGAAUUUGAGGCAGGUGUGUUGAGCAUCUUGUAUUCAUUAAACAGCUCAAACAUUGCAUCUUUUGCAAGGCCAGCUAUUGUUGUACCAUCGGACUCACCAUACAUUUGGCAAACCACAAAUUCAAGGUAUUCAAGUUUAGUUCGAGGAUCAAGCAUGGAGGAAAUAAAAAUCAGCAUAUUCAUCUUUUCAAUCUUUCCCCAAUACUUAUCAUAUUUAUCCUUCAUUGAUCUUGCCAUUGAACUUAAUUCUUCAUUAUCACUUGCUGCCAUUUCAAUUAAAAUGCCAUGUAUGUGACUAAUAUCAGUGAAAAAAUUAUUUGAAGUCACAUAUUUGGAACCAGAAACCUUCACAGUUAGCUGAUAAAAGUUCUCCAAAAAAAUUACCAAGAAUCUAGCUUUUGUCCAAUCAGAUUUUGUUGGCAGAUUUUCUAACUCUUGAAGCAUGUAAGGAUCCUGCUCCUCGAACCUCUCAAAAGCCCGCUCAAACCUUUGAGCCGUGUCUAGCAUUAGAUAUGUAGAAUUCCACCUAGUAGAGACAUCUAAACAGAGCAAUCUUUUGCAUUCAAUUUUUUCAAUUUCCACACAUUCCUUGAAUUUUUUCAAUCUAGAAGGUGACUGUCUAACAUAUCUAACUGCUGCCCUGAUACAAUCAACUGAAUCCCCCAGUUUUUUGAUGCCAUCAUUAACAAUUAGAUUCACUAUGUGAGCUACACACCUCACAUGAGUCCAUUUCCCCCCUAACACAGCUUUCCCCCAAUUUUGAAGUUUUCCUCGUAAAUAGCUGACAGCUACAUCAUUGGAACUUGCAUUGUCAACUGUAACAGUUAGGAUAUCAUCAACUCCCCAUUCUAGUAGACAUUUUUCUAUGGCCUUACCAACUUCAGUUCCCUUGUGACUAGCAAUAGGACAGAAAUUUAGGAUCUUUUUGUUCAGUUUCCAAUCAUUAUCUAUGAAAUGGGCAGUGAGGCACAUAUAGUUUAUCCUUUGAAUGGAUGUCCAAGAAUCUGUGGUUAGACAAAUUUUGCCACUGUUAUUCUUCAAGAGAUGUUUCAACUUAAUUUUUUCAUCUAAAUACAGCUGAUAGCAAUCUCUAGAAAUAGUCCACCUCGAAGGAAUUCUAAAUGAUGGACAAGCAGUCCGCAUCAUGUAUUGAAAACCUCUACCCUCUACAUGUUUAAAUGGCAACUCAUCAACAAUUACCAUAUAAGCUAUGCUUUUUCUAAUGGCUUCCGCAUCAAAUUUCCAACUUAUGAGUGCCCCUUUAACCUCUCCCUCUAAUGUUUCAGUUUCACCCAAACACAAAGUAGCCUGGCCAGUGUGCUUAUUUUUAGGAUUUAGAGGACAUUUAGCUACAUGAGUAUUAAGGGGAGUCGUACCAUGACUUUUGGGAUCCGCGGCUAUGUCCUUCUCACAGUAUUUGCAAAUUGCAUGACGAACUCCAUUCACAUGCUUUACAUGAAAAUGAUCCCAAGCUUUGGACCUCUUCUUGUACUCUCCUCUUUUCUUGCCAAAACCAGAUUCUUCACAGCUUUGUGUUGUAGGACUAGGAAGAAGACCUCUAGAUGAUCCUUCUUGUUCUAACUCAUUGUGACUUGGAUUACUCUCACCAUCAUUAGUAGUAGACAUACCUUAAGUUUUGCGCGAAUCUGAGCAAAUAAAUUAUACAAUUUAGUGCAACAAUCAUUUAGCAAUAAAAUUGAAAUAAAAGACUAGAUGAAAUUGAAGAACCAACUCAGGACAACAUUCAAUGAACGCUGAGAAAAUCAACUAGAACCAACUCAGAACCAACUAGAUGAAAUCUGAGCAAAUUCAAUGAAGCCAGUCACUUUCUUAUCAUAGAACAAACUCAAGACAGAAACCAUAUAGGAAGCAUUAACAUCACAAUGCAGAAAAAGAAGAGGUGAUUCAUUACUGGUUUAGUGCAAGUUAUCUAGAUUCAAACUGGGGCUCUAGUCUAGCUAGCUUGGAUGCUCUAAAGUGGGCCAAACAACAUUUGCCGGCCAAUGGGCAUACUCGACAGCACAAGUGUUGAAGAGCAACUGUAAACAGCUGAAAAAUGAGCCAGUACCUACCUAUCCUGGCCCUGGAAUGGGAUAGCCUUUCUGAACUUUGUCAACUUUUUUCCUUCCAAAGGGGAAAAAAAAACAUACAAGAGAAAUAAAAAUUAAGAAAGGAGGGAAAGUGAGAGAUCAAGAAACUAAAUCAAAAGAAAAAUUAAGGCUAAGGUAAAUGAAUCUUUGUAAUGAUUAUUUCGAAAAAGCAAACAUAUCCCUCAGAAUGCCUAAUAUCCACCUGGGAAGAAGCUAUGGUUCCUCAACCUUAGCACAAUCAGGAUUGCUAGAAGGGAGCACCAAUUUAUAGUCACAGCUUUCAGAUUACUAAAUGUUUCAUCAGUGGGAUAUCAAAAGUUUGAUAUAAUUAGUCAAGAAUCAACCUCCCACAAAUCUUGAAACUUCAAAUAAAUGAGAAGAAUUUAAAAAAAAAAAAAAGAAAGGACCCAGAAAAUUUCAUUUAAAACCACAAACAGGAACCCCAACAACUAUAAAAAUCAAGAACAACAGAUAUAAAAGAAUGAAUGAAUCAGAAAAUUGGAUCAAAAGCAGAUUUGUAAAUGCAAAGAUUAAGAAGAAGAGAGGGAGAACCGGCUCAAGUUUGCUGCACUAGAAGAAGAAUGAAACUGAUCCAAGUUUGCUCAAGUUUGUACCGGCUCAACUACUCUUAUCCAAUUCAAAAACUCAUAACUUUUAUCAAGAUUCAAUCAGGAAGGAAAUUGAGCAUCAAACAUCAUACAAGUUCCACUGAAAUUAAAUUAGCCCAUAUAAAAAAACUAGCAAAUUAAACAACGACAUCCAGAAUCAAAUACCAAAAGAAAAAAAAACACCAAAUGAAAAUCCAAUUAUUGAGUCUUUUUCAUAAACCCAUUUACCUGAUAGGCUUAUCCAAGGCUUCACUGGAAUCAGCACUAGCGAACUGUGGUCCUGGACCUCCCGGUGAUAGUGGAUGCUCCGCUCGGUCAGCAAUGGUGAAACCUCGGUCAGAAUGGGAAACGGAGAAAGAGUGGACUGAGCAGAGGAGAGGAAAGGACAGAGGACUGACUGAGGAGAGGACUGAGCAGAAUGAGGAGAGGAGAAGAAACGAGAGAAAGAGGGGAACUGAGGAAGAUGGGACUGCGCCGCGGGCCGCGGCAGUGCAGAGGAGCGAGAGGAAGAGGGGACGAAGAGCGGAAUUAGGGCACCACGUCUGAAAAUCUGAAAUUGGACCAAUAUGAAUAUCGGACAUAAUGAACUAUUUCCUAUGUAACUUAAUUCGGGAAUUUCGAAAUUGAAAACGGUAUAUUAUUACCGUUUUACCGAAAUUAAAUCGAAUUCGGUAUAUCCGAAUUCAAAAACUAUAAAAUCGUUUUCGAACCUAAUUCGAUUUCAACUUGUACUAUAUCCCCGAUUUACCGACCGAAUUACCGAAUUAUCAAAUUCGAUUUACCAAAUUGAAAUCGAUUUCGGUCGGUAAAUCGGUAUUUACCGUAAUUGCUCACCCCUACUUGUGGCACAUUUUGUACACAAAAUCUGGGCGACCUCAUGUGUGCCUUAGUCAACUAAAACUGUAAAUCUACAAAGGAAGUUGGCUGAUUAUUGGACUGCCUACUCAAAAGUAAUCCACCUUAAAUUCGCAAAGAAGAUAAUCGUCUUUGCAAUCCUAUGUAAUAAAAAAUGUUGUAGCCUCUGAACUUUUUGCAAUGACCUUAAAGUAGCCCUCAUGCACAAGUUCUCUCCUUUAUUGAAAUUUUCUUACGAAACAUUCCUUAGCAGGCAUUUUCUGCUGUUUAAUUUCCAAAAUGAGUCUCCUUCUAAUCACUUUCCAACCUAGUAAAUUCUUGAGCACGAAAGUGGAACUGAAGAUUUCUGAGGCAGGUUCAAAGCAAAAGGCAGCGUCACUCAGCGGCAACCAGUUCAAUCAUUUGGAUAAUCACAACCAGACCAAAAAAUUAAUCAUACAAAACCAGCAACUGAAAGCCAAAAAAACUCGUAGAGAUCAAUACUUAGCUGAAAAAUAUAACAUUAGAACUGUGAUUAGAAAUCACAUAAUCCUUCACAUCUGAAAUUCAUCUCACUUUUUGACACCUUGCCCAAAACUCACAGAUAAUAAUUCCCAUUAAAACUUUAGACCCAAAGUAAAGAAUUGAUAUUAUACAGCUACCAAUGUACAUAAAUAGAUCUGGAUAUUUUAACAUCAGAAAUGUCUGCUUUUCUUUGAACCUAUAGAGCAUAUUACAUGAUUCAGUAUAAGAUGCCUUGGAGACUGUAACUAGCUUCAUAAUCCAGUUACAGCAGAAUGGAAUAGCAUAUAAAACCUGAAUUAGGAAGGAAAACAACUGCUUCCAUGCACCCUAUCUAACUGCUCUAGUCGAAAGGGAAUCCAGAAUUAAGGAAAACAAUUGCUGCAGCUAUAAGCUAACUGUGCUACUCUUAAGGAAGGAUUUUCAAUUUCUUUUAAAAAUCCAUGCAUACAAGAUCACCAUUUCGGUGCAAAGUACCAAAGGACUAUCCACGCCCAUAAUAAUAAUCUAACAUUUAGAAGAGGCCACUGCCAGAAGCACUGGAUCACAAGUCUUCUCGAAGGAAAAUAAAAAGCAACGAACUUUUACAUCUAAGUCCUAAUGCCUGCUGAGUCAUCCUAAAAGAGAACAAGGCAUGAACAAAAAAUUACGAACUGCCAUAGUUCCAAGGCCCCAGCCUAGCUCCAUCACAUCAUUGGAACUAUACAAUGGGAGUUGAUAUGUUCUGGGGAGGCUGUGGAACCAUGCAAUGUUGUUACUGCCAUUGUUGUAAACCCUCAUUCACAUUCAUCCCCACUUUCUGCUCAGAACCAACAGUAUUAUCUUCAACAUCCAUAGUUGAUACCUCUGCGUCAUCAGCUUCCAUCAUAUCAGAAACAUCUAUUUGGGGAAUAGCUUCAUCUCCACUUGUUGAAUAAAGCUGAGGUGGCGGCACCCAAGGAACAACUGCUAGACACUAAUUUUGUGGAUCAGACUUGUUAUCAUCUGUUCUUUCUUCACUAUCUAAUGCUCUCCAUUGACUAGAGUAAUUGGAC
rnacentral:lncRNA from 1 species